rnacentral:rRNA from 1 species
AGUGAACGCUGGCGGCAGGCCUAACACAUGCAAGUCGAACGGCAGCACAGUAAGAGCUUGCUCUUACGGGUGGCGAGUGGCGGACGGGUGAGGAAUACAUCGGAAUCUACUUUUUCGUGGGGGAUAACGUAGGGAAACUUACGCUAAUACCGCAUACGACCUACGGGUGAAAGCAGGGGAUCUUCGGACCUUGCGCGAUUGAAUGAGCCGAUGUCGGAUUAGCUAGUUGGCGGGGUAAAGGCCCACCAAGGCGACGAUCCGGAGCUGGUGUGAGAGGAUGAUCAGCCACAUGGGAGCUGAGCCGCGGUCCAUGCGCCUACGGGAGGCAGCAGUGUGGAAUAUUGGACAAUGGUCGCAAGCCUGAUCCAGCCAUACCACGUGGGUUGAGACGACCUUCCGGUUGUAAAGCCCUUUUGUUGGGAAAGAAAAGCAGCAGGUUAAUACCCCGCUGUACUGACGGUACCCAAUGAAUAAGCGCCGGCUAACUUCGUG